CAGCAGCCGCGGGAAUACGUAGGUCCCGAGCGUUGUUCGGAAUCACUGGGCGUAAAGGGAGCGUAGGCGGCGUGGUAAGUCAGAUGUGAAAUCCCGGGGCUCAACCCCGGAACUGCAUCCGAUACUGCCAUGCUAGAGGAUUGGAGAGGUAGCUGGAAUUCUUGGUGUAGCAGUGAAAUGCGUGGAGAUCAAGAGGAACACUCGUGGCGAAAGCGAGCUACUGGACAAUAACUGACGCUGAGGCUCGAAGGCCAGGGUAGCGAAAGGGAUUAGAUACCCCUGUAGUCCCUGUCUCUUAUAC
rnacentral:rRNA from 1 species